GGCGAUCAGAUACCGCCCUAGUUCUGACCGUAAACGAUGCCAACUAGCGAUCCGUCGGCGGAUUCAUUCGCCCUGGUGGGGAGCUUCCCGGAAACGAAAGUCUUCCGGUUCCGGGGGAAGUAUGGUUGCAAAGCUGAAACUUAAAGGAAUUGACGGAAGGGCGCCACCAGGAGUGGAGCCUGCGGCUUAAUUUGACUCAACACGGGGAAACUCACCCGGCCCGGACACCGUAAGGAUUGACAGAUUGAUAGCUUUUUCAUGAUUCGGUGGAUGGUGGUGCAUGGCCGUUCUUAGUUCGUGGAGCGAUUUGUCUGGUUUAUUCCGAUAACGAGCGAGACUCUGGCCUACUAAAUAGUUGGCACAUUGCCACUGUGUGCCCAACUUCUUAGAGGGAUUUUCGGUGUUCAGCCGCACGAAAUUGAGCAAUAACAGGUCUGUGAUGCCCUUUAGAUGUCCGGGGCUGCACGCGCGCUACACUGGCAAAAUCAGCGUGCUUGUCCUCCCGAAAGGGUGUAAACCGAUGAAAUUGCCGUGAUUGGGAUCGGACAUGCAAUUAUGUCCGUGAACGAGGAAUCCUGUAAGGGCGAGUCAUCAACUCGUCCUGAAUACGUCCUGCCCUUGUA
rnacentral:rRNA from 1 species